UAGGGAAUUUUGCGCAAUGGACGAAAGUCUGACGCAGCAACACCGUGUGAGGGAUGAAGCAUUUCGGUGUGUAAACCUCUGUCGAUGAUGAAUAAGGUAUGCGGGAGUGGAAAGCCCGUGUAUUGAAGGUAGUCAUGAAGGAAGCACCGGCUAACUCUGUGCCAGCAGCCGCGGUAAUACAGGGGGUGCAAGCGUUGUUCGGAAUCACUGGGCGUAAAGGGAGCGUAGGCGGAACUACAAGUCAGAGGUCAAAUCUCCGGGCUCAACCUGGAACUUGCCUUUGAGACUGUGGUUCUUGAGUAUGGUAGAGGUCAGCGGAAUUUCCGGUGUAGCGGUGGAAUGCGUAGAGAUCGGAAAGAACACCAGAGGCGAAGGCGGCUGACUGGACCAAUACUGACGC
rnacentral:rRNA from 1 species